rnacentral:tRNA from 1 species
GAGGAUAUAGCUCAGUGGUAGAGCGUGUGCUCAGCAUGCACGAGGUCCUGGGUUCAAUCCCCAGCACCUAUG